CCCUUAGAUGUCCUGGGCCGCACGCGCGCUACACUGACAUGUUCAACAAGUUUCUCCUAGUUCGACAGGACUGGGAAAUCUUUGAACGCAUGUCGUGAUAGGGAUAGAUCAUUGCAAUUAUUGAUCUUGAACGAGGAAUUCCUAGUAAGCGCGAGUCAUCAGCUCGCGUUGAUUACGUCCCUGCCCUUUGUACACACCGCCCGUCGCUACUACCGAUUGAAUGGUUUAGUGAGGACUCCUGAUUGGCGCCGCCGCCCCGGCAACGGAGCAGCGGACUGCCGAAAAGUUGUUCAAACUUGAUCAUUUAGAGGAAGUAAAAGUCGUAACA
rnacentral:rRNA from 1 species